UGGGCCGAACUCGAGUAUUGAAACGACGCUUCUUGUUGCCUGUCGCGUUGAGGGCUUGGUUCUGGUCUCGGAGGACAGUGUUCUCCGAAUGAAGCUGGUUUAGCUUCUCGGCGCUUUGCUCCAGCUGUUUGGAGUGCUCAUCAAGUUUCUCCUUCAGACUCUGAACUUCUGAAGAGAGGUCGGGGUUUUCUUCGGUAGUCUCCUGAGCUCGGUGCAUGUCGGUUGAUUUGGCUUUGCAAGCCGUCUACUCGCUUCUUAAGCUGAGCUGUUGUUUGAGCGGCUUCAGUUGGUUCGUCCUGCUCAUCCAUCGCCAUCAUCACGUAGUUAGAUUACUCCCCUCCUUCUAG
rnacentral:lncRNA from 1 species